UGUAGUCUGCAACCCGACUACAUGAAGCUGGAAUCGCUAGUAAUCGCGGAUCAGAAUGCCGCGGUGAAUACGUUCCCGGGUCUUGUACACACCGCCCGUCACACCAUGGGAGUCGGAAAUGCCCGAAGUCUGUGACCCAACCUACGGGAGGGAGCAGCCGAAGGCAGGUCGGAUGACUGGGGUGAAGUCGUAACAAGGUACC
rnacentral:rRNA from 1 species